rnacentral:tRNA from 1 species
GGGGAUUUGGCUCAGUGGUAGAGCGCUUGCCUAGGAAGCACAAGGCUCUGGGUCCAGUCCCCA